UCGUACGAGAGUUUUUAACUCUAGUGGCGGACGGGUGAGUAACACGUGAGAAUUUGCCUUUAGGAGGGGGAUAACAAUCGGAAACGAAUGCUAAUACCCCAUAUGCUUUUGAGUGAAAUGGAUUUAUCCGCCUAAAGAGAAGCUCGCGGCUGAUUAGCUUGUUGGUGAGGUAAGAGCUUACCAAGGCGACGAUCAGUAUCUGGUUUGAGAGGACGAUCAGACACACUGGAACUGAGACACGGUCCAGACUCCUACGGGAGGCAGCAGUGGGGAAUUUUCCGCAAUGGGCGAAAGCCUGACGGAGCAAUACCGCGUGAGGGAAGACUGCCUAUGGGUUGUAAACCUCUUUUUUCAGGGAGGAACAAAAUGACGUGUACCUGAAGAAUAAGCAUCGGCUAACUCCGUGCCAGCAGCCGCGGUAAGACGGAGGAUGCAAGUGUUAUCCGGAAUCACUGGGCGUAAAGCGUCUGUAGGUGGUUUAAUAAGUCAACUGUUAAAUCUUGAGGCUCAACUUCAAAAUCGCAGUCGAAACUAUUAGAC
rnacentral:rRNA from 1 species